ACACUCCUGCGGGAGGCAGCAGUGGGGAAUAUUGCACAAUGGGCGCAAGCCUGAUGCAGCCAUGCCGCGUGUAUGAAGAAGGCCUUCGGGUUGUAAAGUACUUUCAGUGGGGAGGAAGGCGAUAAGGUUAAUAACCUUGUUGAUUGACGUUACCCGCAGAAGAAGCACCGGCUAACUCCGUGCCAGCAGCCGCGGUAAUACGGAGGGUGCAAGCGUUAAUCGGAAUUACUGGGCGUAAAGCGCACGCAGGCGGUCUGUCAAGUCGGAUGUGAAAUCCCCGGGCUCAACCUGGGAACUGCAUUCGAAACUGGCAGGCUAGAGUCUUGUAGAGGGGGGUAGAAUUCCAGGUGUAGCGGUGAAAUGCGUAGAGAUCUGGAGGAAUACCGGUGGCGAAGGCGGCCCCCUGGACAAAGACUGACGCUCAGGUGCGAAAGCGUGGGGAGCAAACAGGAUUAGAUACCCGGGUAGUCCCA
rnacentral:rRNA from 1 species